rnacentral:rRNA from 1 species
GUUGAUAUGGCUCAGGAUGAACGCUAGCGACAGGCUUAACACAUGCAAGUCGAGGGGCAUCACGGGAGUAGCAAUACAACUGGUGGCGACCGGCGCACGGGUGAGUAACGCGUAUGCAACCUACCUAUCAGAGGGGAAUAACCCGGCGAAAGUCGGACUAAUACCGCAUAAAACAGGGGCACCGCAUGGUGAUAUUUGUUAAAGAAAUUCGCUGAUAGAUGGGCAUGCGUUCCAUUAGGUAGUUGGUGAGGUAACGGCUCACCAAGCCGACGAUGGAUAGGGGAACUGAGAGGUUGGUCCCCCACACUGGUACUGAGACACGGACCAGACUCCUACGGGAGGCAGCAGUGAGGAAUAUUGGUCAAUGGGCGGGAGCCUGAACCAGCCAAGUCGCGUGAAGGAAAGAAGGAUCUAUGGUUCGUAAACUUCUUUUGCAGGGGAAUAAAGUGCAGGACGUGUCCUGUUUUGUAUGUACCCUGAGAAUAAGGAUCGGCUAACUCCGUGCCAGCAGCAGC